GAAUGGCAUAAGGGUCCUUAUUUUUAUGCUAAAAUAAUUAUUAAAGACCCUAGAUGCAAAAUCGUCAAUUAUUGAGUUAAAUGGAUUAUAAGAUGGAUUUUAAAGGAUAAUUAAAGGGUUCAAAUCGUCUGUUCCACCAUUUAAGGAUUGACGCACUCAUCGUGUUGGUUCCAAUGGGCAAGGUUUAACAAAUGCAUCUUGUUUGUUUCAAACGAAGAAGCAUAUCCUGAAAACUCAGCAUUUUAAAUGAAUGAACGAGUUCACGAAAAUUUAUAGAAAAGCAAUACGGAAUACAACGCAUAUGCAUAUGAAGAUAGUAUAGAGAGAAG